CGCACCUGUGCGCCAGGUUCAGCUGGAGAGAGCGGAGCUGAGUGAGUUUGUUCCGCGUCUUUUAUGAUUAUGUUUUAUUUUCCUUUAUUUGAAUGUAGAUAACAUUUAAGGUCAUUAUGUAGAAUAAACCUUACAUGAGAAAAGGGUAAAACACGUAUUUUCGUUGGGAGCUAAAUAGCAUUUUUCAUGCGCCUUUGUUCACAAAACUAAGCGUGUGCAUUCUUCCAAACCUGCGUUUGGAAAGGACUUUGAAAAGUAGCUUUGUAAAGAUUUUCGUUAUUUUCCAGAGUUUGCUCUUACAUUCGUAAUAUAAUUGUCGCUUGCAAUUAACCUUUUAAUGGGCUUAAAAUUGUAAAUUUUGCUAUUCUCAGUUUAGGGAAGGACACGAUUCGCAUUAAAUAUUGGGAGUUUAAACGUAAGUAUGAACAUUUUAUUCAUUUCUUUACAAGUAUCUCAUUCAAAUAUAUUUUGCGCUAUCUGCCCUAGUGAAAACGCCGUUUGCUAAGAAACCUUGGUUUAAUUUAUCUUUAAAUAAUCGUCUAAAUACUUGUGUUCUUGUGUUUCCAGUUCGGUGUCUGCGGACAGGACAUGCUUGGCUCAGCUACUGGAAUUAUCAAUGAAAUGCAACGAAGUUCCAGUCUUCAUUCCGGUCGCUGCCUCGACUGAUAACUCGGAGAAACAGUAACGUGCUGUGUGUUUCUGUAUCUUAACUUGUAGUUGUUUGCAAAUGUUUUCUUACUCUGUUGACUUGUAACAGUAUUUUGCGUUAAUGUAGCCGUGCUUUGACACUUCGUAAUUGAAAUGCUUGUUCAUUUUCACUUUGAAGCCUGUGCAUCCGACUUAUUGUAAUGCUUUGUUUUGUAUGCCAUUUUCGCUCAAUAAAUGGUUGAUUGAACCUUGAUUUUGUUCUUUGAUUUCUUGUGCAGAGUUUUGUUCCCCCUUGGCCCUGAAAA
rnacentral:lncRNA from 1 species